GGGUUUAUGAUGGGGGUUCUCUCCAUUCUCACUAGCGUCUACACCUGCUAUUCAAGACUGGUGCUACAUUUAAUUUCUAUUCUUGUUGGUCCAAGCUAGAGCUUUCUUUUGAUAUAUGUAUACUCCAGCUUGAGGGGGAGUGUUAAAGAUAC